AUACGGAGGAUCCGAGCGUUAUCCGGAUUUAUUGGGUUUAAAGGGAGCGUAGGUGGAUUGUUAAGUCAGUUGUGAAAGUUUGCGGCUCAACCGUAAAAUUGCAGUUGAAACUGGCAGUCUUGAGUACAGUAGAGGUGGGCGGAAUUCGUGGUGUAGCGGUGAAAUGCUUAGAUAUCACGAAGAACUCCGAUUGCGAAGGCAGCUCACUAGACUGUUACUGACACUGAUGCUCGAAAGUGUGGGUAUCAAACAGGAUUAGAUACCCUGGUAGUCCACACAGUAAACGGUGAAUACUCGCUGUUUGCGAUAUACAGUAAGCGGCCAAGCGAAAGCAUUAAGUAUUCCACCUGGGGAGUACGCCGGCAACGGUGAAACUCAAAGGAAUUGACGGGG
rnacentral:rRNA from 1 species